rnacentral:rRNA from 1 species
AUGUUAGCGGCGGACGGGUGAGUAACACGUGGGUAACCUGCCUGUAAGACUGGGAUAAUAUCGGGAAACCGGGGCUAAUACCGGAUGGUUGUUUGAACCGCAUGGUUCAAACCGCAAAGGUGGCUUCGGCUACCACUUACAGAUGGACCCGCGGCUUAUUAGCUAGUUGGUGAGGUAAUGGCUCACCAAGGCAACGAUGCGUAGCCGACCUGAGAGGGUGAUCGGCCACACUGGGACUGAGACACGGCCCAGACUCCUACGGGAGGCAGCAGUAGGGAAUCUUCCGCAAUGGACGAAAGUCUGACGGAGCAACGCCGCGUGAGUGAUGAAGGUUUUCGGAUCGUAAAGCUCUGUUGUUAGGGAAGAACAAGUACCGUUCGAAUAGGGCGGUACCUUGACGGUACCUAACCAGAAAGCCACGGCUAACUACGUGCCAGCAGCCGCGGUAAUACGUAGGUGGCAAGCGUUGUCCGGAAUUAUUGGGCGUAAA